CCUCAACCCUGCACCUUAACCCUGCACCUAGCCUCAACCCUGCACCUAGCCUCAACCUAGGCCUGGUAACAGGUAACUCAUGACAAUAUCUGUGUGUAGGAUGGGUUGCAUUUAUGCAACAACAAACAAACAGUUUCAAAGUGCUUUGCUGAUGUUGUAUCAUGUCUGCGUUGUGGAGGUUGUAGUGAUGUUGUAUCAUGUCUGCGUUGUGGAGGUUGUAGUGAGGUUGUGAUGUUGUAUCAUGUCUGUUGUGGAGGUUGUAGUGAGGUUGUGAUGUUGUAUCAUGUCUGUUGUGAAGGUUGUAAUGAUGUUGUAUCAUGUCUGUGUUGUGGAGGUUGUAGUGAUGUUGUGGAGGUUGUAGUGAUGUUGUAUCAUGUCUGUUGUGGAGGUUGUAGUGAGGUUGUAGUGAUGUUGUAUCAUGUCUGUGUUGUGGAGGUUGUAGUGAUGUUGUAUCAUGUCUGUUGUGGAGGUUGUAGUGAUGUUGUAUCAUGUCUGUGUUAUUUAGGUUGGGGGUGUUGUUCACUCCUCUGCUUCCUGCUGUACAGAUCAUCAAACUACUGCUUCUCUUCUACAUGAAGCAGGUAGGUUCUCCUCUGUUCUGAUCACUGUGCCAUGAUCACACUGGUAACUUCUCUUCUACAGGAAGCAGGUAGGUACACCUCUGUUCUGAUCACUGUGCCAUGAUCAUACUGGUAACUUCUCUUCUACAGGAAGCAG
ensembl:lncRNA